CAGCUAUACUUCCGCUGCGGAAGGAUCAUU
rnacentral:rRNA from 1 species